UAUACAUAGAAAAGUGAAAACGAAUAGUAAUUUGGAACAGAAGGAGUAACAUUUUUAAUUAUUAAAAGGCCCCCAUAUAAUUGCGGUCCCUGGCCCCCAAAAUCUCAGGACCUUGCCUGGCUACAACCGUAGAGUCUCAACCGAGAAAUACACAGCACAAGGCUCCAACACACUGAAACACACGACAGAAGAACAGAGACGGUAUAGGAUGCCAGCACGGCCAGGAACACUGCAAUCCGGUGGAUCACCACAACUGCAUUACACAUUCACGUCCCAAGCCAAGAUCUUGAUUAUUGCGUAACUGUGUUACAAAGGUAGAGUUUACUCACAACAAUGAUCGUUCUCUGUUUCACUCGAAAGAACAGAGACGGUAUAGGAUGCCAGCACGGCCAGGAACACUGCAAUCCGGUGGAUCACCACAACUGCAUUACACAUUCACGUCCCAAGCCAAGAUCUUGAUUAUUGCGCAACUGUGUUACAAAGGUAGAGUUUACUCACAACAAUGAUCGUUCUCUGUUUCACUCGAACAAUCGCUUACAUUGAACGUCUGGUGCAAAACGGGUGCAACUGCAAUGGGAGAAACUAUACCGUGGUUUACGCAGCCAUGAUGCAUUCAAUGGCUUCCUUGC
rnacentral:lncRNA from 1 species